CUUUUUUAGAGUCAUCAACCCAUAGAUAACCAGCGAAAGUAAACAGGGAAGCACGAUUUUCGACGGCUGAACCCUGGAGAACAGCUGACUUGGGGAUCUGGGCUCUGGAUGAGCAUACAGCCGCGGAGACUCAGGAGUGGGCGUUGAGCUGGGGAAAGAACGGGGAGAACGUGCCUCUCACACAGCAAGUAUUUGAAGAAGGAUGAGUCACCGUCUUGGGUCCAAUUCCCCUGCAAGACUGAGGAAGACGAGGACCGAAACCACCCUCUGUGCCCACGCCCUUCGCAGGAACCGUUGAGUGAGGUGGCGGAGACAAAAGCUGCCUGUAGCGGAUUCGAGGGAGAAUACAAAAUAAGGACUUUGGCACAGAGAACAAAAUACUCUCACGAGGACGAGAGAUGAAGAAAUGGAGCUACGGAAGGAUGGGCUCGUGCAGUAAAGGAAGAAUUUCUUUCCCGGGAUGGGAGAUAUUAUACCGUACGUGUAAGAAAGACAGACGGAUGGGACAGACGGAGAAUGUGACGGACAGAGUGUCUGCGAGAGCAAACACAGCAGUCUGGAACCACUGAACACACAUCAGCCAACAUGGGAAGCAGACAUCUGGCCCAGGAGAGAAAUCAAAACAGGAAGAGUGGGUUCCACAUGGCAUCUGCCUCACUAGAGGUGUAAUGCCUGUGAUUGCUACAGCAAGAGUUCCUCACUUUUACUGCAGGAAGGCUGCCCAUUUCAGCCUUGUGCCCCGGCAAAGCAAGAAUUUACAAGGUGAGAAAUUUCUUAUUAUAGCAAAGAGGUUCAAAGAAUGAGGCAGCCAAAAAGAGUGACAAAUAUCUGCUACACAGCACAUGUAUAGAUUAACAUUAUGAAUAAGAUGUUAUUUUUCUAUUUGGCUGUAAAGAAUCCUGGCAAACACUGCCUUAGACAGGUGAUGAAGGUCAACUUCACCCCAGUGAUAAGUCAUGUACCCCCAACAUACACCAAUGUGAUGUCAUGAGAAUGGAAGUUCAUCUCUGUGGUCACGCUCCCCAAAAUGCACAACCCCCGUUUAACCAUGAGAAAAGCAUCCAGCAAGAGACAAAAUACCUGAAGAGCUUUUGUCAAAAGAAAGUCAUCAAAAAUAAGCAAAGACGGAGACCCUGUCACAAAGCAGAGAAGGCUAAGGAGACAGGACAACUAAGUAUAAUGUCCUGGAUUGUAUCCUGGAACAUAAAAGACAUAGGAAAAAACUAGUGAACUCUGAAUAAAAUGUGGAGAGCUCCGCAGACUUUGGGCUAAGAUCAAAUAUGAAUAAAAUGAGUUCAGUUAAAAGUAAUGUACCAGUGUUGGCUUCUUAGUGUGACAAAUGUACCAUAGUAAUGUAACACAUUAAUAACAGGGAAACUGGGUGUGUGAAGGAUAUAGGGGAACUCUCUGUACUGUCUUUCCAAGUUUUCUGUAAAUAAAAAACUAUUAUAACACAAAAGGUUUAUUUAAAAAAAGAAUACUUUUGCACCAGCUGGUUAAUGUUCUUAUGGACACUAGUGUGAAGAUAUGCCCCCAUUUUCUCCCUCCCCUUUACAUCAAACUGUAAUGACUGGUAAAGUACUUUAAACUAAUACCAUUGUCAUUUGUAGCUUCUUUUCAUUUUAACUGAGAUUGAUUCAAAGUAUUUAAAGCUUGUAAUUUUCUAUUUCUACAGCAUCUCACAAAUAAUCACAAGCAAGCACAACUAACAAUUUCCUUAGCUUGUUAGAUCUGGGAAACAUUUCUUUGCUGAGGUCAUAUCUGGAUAGUAGUGGUUCAAAGUUAUAUAUCCUGAUAGGAUCUGGGGCUGGGAAUAUUCUUAUCCAUAUUAAAAGAUGGGAUUUAGCCUGUGACCGUGAACAUAAAGGGGCUAGAUCAGUUAUUCUCAUUGAAUGAAAGGCAUGUCUCUUCUCCAUAUGGAGGUAAGCUGUGGGAGAUUCACCUCAGGAAUUUAACAAACGAUUAUAAAGUUGUUCUGAACAUUUUCAAAAAAAUAUUAUUACUUAUAAAACUGAUGUGUAACCAAAAUAUAUUAGGUCCAACCCUUUAAUUAAAGUCAAAUUCUUACUCAAGAACAUACCUGUGUGUCUGAAUUCUCAGCCACUGACGAGUAACUUUAUUAAAAAGUAUUAUUUAAACCCGAUUAGCUGCUGACUCCACCAGAAUUUCAAAAGAGAAGGAACUGUAAACCUUUUGGGCAGGAUAUGGGUUUCGUGGGAAGGUUUUUUAGCAACCCUAUGUUCACAGACAUGCAGUAAACAUUCUGUCUACCCAGAAAGUACCCAGAAAGUACCUCUUUGCCAAAAUUCAAACUUGUUUGAUGUUCAC